rnacentral:rRNA from 1 species
CAGUCGCCGCGGGAAUACAGAGGGUGCAAGCGUUAAUCGGAUUUACUGGGCGUAAAGCGUGCGUAGGCGGCUUCUUAAGUCGGAUGUGAAAUCCCUGAGCUUAACUUAGGAAUUGCAUUCGAUACUGGGAAGCUAGAGUAUGGGAGAGGAUGGUAGAAUUCCAGGUGUAGCGGUGAAAUGCGUAGAGAUCUGGAGGAAUACCGAUGGCGAAGGCAGCCAUCUGGCCUAAUACUGACGCUGAGGUACGAAAGCAUGGGGAGAAAACAGGAUUAGAUACCCCGUAGUCCCUGUCUCUUAUACA